AGUAUAGUCGUGGAACAUACAGAACUCAAGUUGGUGUUGUAGGAAAGAAAGGAAGAAAGAAAGGAAAACACCUUCGAUGGGUCGGAGAAAUUCAUCAUCAACAUCUAAGGUCUCUUCAAUUACAAAGCGGGUAUUCAAUGCAAUCCGAGAUAAAUCUUGUCCAAUUUGCCUUCAAAACUUUGAUAAUCUUCAUCAUCAUUAUCACCAAGUAGCAGUUCUUACAUUCUGUAUGCACGCUUAUUGCAUACACUGUAUUCACAAAUGGAGUCACAUGAAACGAAAUUGCCCUCUUUGCAAUGCUGAAUUCGAUUCAUGGUUUUCCAAUUUUAGGGUUUUUACUGGGAAAUUUGAAGUAUUUCGAUUACCUAAACUUGAUAAUAAGAAAAUGAUUGAUUCUGGAGAUCAUACAAGACAAACAACUCAUUUUCUAGAUACAAGGAUGGUUUUGAGGAGGAGACAUAGGGAGUAUAACCGAUCCAGACCAUAUCCGUUGCGGCGAGUUUUUAUGGAAUCGGGACUGGAUUCUCUUAGUGAGAGGCAAAGGAAUCAAGUUGAGAUUGUAACUGGAAGUGUUCUUCAAUGGCGAGCUAGUAUUUAUAACAAAGGUAUACAAGCCAUUCCAUUGCCUUCAAGGAGUUGCCAGCAGAAUGUAUUAAGAAAUAAUGGCGUCAAAGAAAUAAAGCGACGCAGAAUAGAACCAUGGAUUAUAAGAGAAUUGCAGUCUGUUCUUGGGGAUUCAGAUCCGUCAGUUAUCGUGCAUCUAGCCACUUCUCUCUAUAUCUCAGGUCUUGAAGAAAAACAGAAGAACCCUUCCAAUAAUCUCGCAGAUGGAGAUAGUUUUAUUGAACCGUUGAAACCAUUCUUGCGGGAAUAUACCAAACUGUUUUGGCAUGAACUUAGAUGCUAUGAUGAGAGCUCAUUGACGAUAGAAGUAUACGACACCGUUGUUGAUUAUAGAAGGUCAACUUAAGUGCAAAACCUUGAGGUCUGUUGUUGGCAUCUAUCACGUCGAUGCCCAUGUUCAGUUCUUGCGAUGAAGUGCAGUAGCCAUUUGAAUGCUUGGAGUAUUCAAGGUUUUUCGUGACCAAGCAAAGUUGGUAUUGUUGCUACAGAAAGAGAAAGGCAUGUGUUAAUAGUCUACUCCUCAAUAUACCAUAGCCAAUCAAUUAUCCCGUCCGAAAUCUUUUCGAUUGGUUUUACUAUGUUCAAGCAUGGCAAAUUUGAGAUAUUACUUUCUCACGAACAUCUGCUUUGGAUACUCUUGUGAGCAAUGUGUAGAAGAUAUGUUGUACUGUGGAGUUAAAAACUGAAAGGAAGUUCGAAGCUAGAAGAGUUUUGGUGAUCUAAAAGAGACUGUUACAAAGAUGAGUGAAUUUGUACAUAAAACUGUGUGCUAUCUGUAGUCAAACACGAAACUGAAAAAAGAACCGAAACAUUAUUAUUAUUUUUUUAUUUUAUUUUUAAGAAAAAUAGAAAAAUGCCAAAUACAUCAGAGUGUUUUGAAUGCUCUAACCAGAAUUGAAGAGAGCAAAUUGCUGGUCGAGAUUCAAGUUGCAAGAUAGCUUUGUUAUGAGGUCUCCAUGCCAACUAGUAGGUCUCUGGAGAUCUAGUCUUUAAAUUAAAAGUUUCAAUAUUCACCUAAA